CAGUGAAUAUCCUGUUGCAUAGUGACACAGUUCCAGGAGAUUUUGGGGAUGAGUGAGUCACUCAUAUGGAACAUCCAUCAUGCCAUACGCAGACAAAAUAUCCCACUUGGGACCUGGAUUAAAUCUCACUUAAAAGACAUCAGAAUUUGUAUUACGACAUACUACAGAGAGGGAAUUUGUUGCGUGGAGAGCAAAGCUAUAAAAUGAGUUUGCUUUGAUCUUUGCUUUCUGAGCCUUUCAAUUUUCUGAGGCUAUCACUCACACCACUGAGGGCACUUAAGCAUCUGUGAGUACCUAAGCCACUUCAUGACAUUUUUGGGGAAGUGGACCUCAAGACAUUACAUGCAGGGAAUGAAGAAAUUGCCUACGUGUAAUAGAGCUAUCAGGACUGGAAAAGAGAUACCAAAGGGGCACCAGGGAACAUCUGUAAUCCUGGAAUUACUUCAGAAUGGGAUGAUGUUCCUUCAAUAGGAACCUACUCCCUCUGUUGCCAGGCUUACACAGCACUCCAAGACGUCACCAAUCAGUCUGUUGCCUGGAGUCCCUAAGGGGUUUUGGAUACCUCAGGGACAUGUGGAAAGUUUCAGGAGUGUUACACUUUGCAAAAUGAGAAAUGAAUGACAUGUCCAAUAGAUGGACAAUGAAAGGAAAAAGGAUUUCCUACACUUAAAGAUGCUUUUAUACAGGCAAGCAAGCACUAUGCACUGAAAAAAGGAAAAGAAGGAAACUAACAUUCAGCAUGUGCUUUCAACUUCAAACAAGAACAACUCUUGAGGCUUGGAAUGUGUUUUCCAGGCUCACAGUGGGAAAGAGGAUUUCCAGGAUGCAGACAACCUUUAACACCUCAGGAAUCACAGUGUGGUCCAGACCUGACCAAUGGAAGAUGGACACCAGAGAAAGACGGGCAUUUUCUGGUGGUACCUGAAGCAAGAUUAAAAAAAAAAAAAAAGUACCUGGAAGCAGCUCUACUGGCCAGGCUCUUUGGCACCUUGCUUAGGUGCCUGAAGUCAAGAGGCAGAAAUCCAGGUCACAGUUCUGAAAAAUCUUUCGUGAUGUCACAGCUGAGACUUGUCUUCACAGUGCCCCUUUCUGUUUCCGUCCAUAAACUUAUGGCAACAUAUACUUUACUUUAAAGUACAGAAUAGCUAGUGCUUCCAGAAAAAUAAAUAAAUAAAUACACAAAUACAUAAAUAAAAGAGAAAAAAAAAAAAAAAAAAAAAAACACAGUAAGAGUGGUAAACAGAAGGGGA